GCGGAAACAUAAAUAAUAACAUCAAUCAGAGGUGAGACACCGCCAUGAAAAGAUGAAACGCGUCCGGACUCCUGACGGUGCUCGAAGACGAUGCUUUCAAUUUGGAUUUGCAAGAUUACUUGCCUUAUCAACAACGAUUGUUCGAUGAGAAGCACCUUAUACUCUACGCCUAGGAUUGAAUUGGGCCUUAUCCGCGAUCAGGAUUGUUUACGGCUCUCUAGAAUGGAAGAGUGGAGGAGAGAUAGCAACGAUCGACGUCAUCUGCCAGCAGUUCCAGAAGAUGUUAGAAACGUUAAAUUACUAUACCAGAUAACCGUCAAUCUUAUCAACCUUGACAUCCUUGGCGAAGUGGACGAGGUGGUAACUGUUGAGGAAUGUGAAACCCCCUGUACGUAUAC